CCUACGGGUGUCAGCAGUGAGGAAUAUUGGUCAAUGGACGAGAGUCUGAACCAGCCAAGUAGCGUGAAGGAUGACUGCCCUAUGGGUUGUAAACUUCUUUUAUAUGGGACUAAAAUGUUCCACGUGUGGGCUUUUGUAUGUACCAUAUGAAUAAGAAUCGGCUAACUCCGUGCCAGCAGCCGCGGUAAUACGGAGGAUCCGAGCGUUAUCCGGAUUUAUUGGGUUUAAAGGGAGCGUAGGUGGAUUGUUAAGUCAGUUGUGAAAGUUUGCGGCUAAACCGUAAAAUUGCAGUUGAAACUGGGAGUCUUGAGUACAGGAGAGGUGGGCGGAAUUCGUGGUGUAGCGGUGAAAUGCAUAGAUAUCACGAAGAACUCCGAUUGCGAAGGCAGCUUACUGGACUGCAACUGACACUGAUGCUCGAAAGUGUGGGUAUCAAACAGGAUUAGAUACCCGUGUAGUC
rnacentral:rRNA from 1 species